AAGCAGUGAUUUGCAAAAGAGUCUUUGAGCAGUUCAGCUGCUGAUGAGAACACUGGCAUCUAGUGCCUGGGGAUGGCUGUAUGCAAGGCUGUGAGAGCCAAUUUAGUGAGUUGUGGUCUGAAGAAAUUGUGUUCCUCUGAUGCCUUUAUGCUAAAUAUUGUGUGGCUGUGCUCAGGAAGCCCUCCAUGAGGAAAUACUGUACCAGAGGUGUAUUCCUGGAAAAAUGAGUCCCCCUGGGAAAGACAUUCCUCAGCAGCCCAUUCUCUUCAUCUCCAGCCCUUCUUCAGACACUGAAAGGUUGCUCUCAGGUCUCCCCAUGGCCUUCUAUUCUCCAAGCUGAACAGCCCCAGCUCUCAGCCUAUCCUCAUAGUGUGGGUGUUCAAUCCCUU